rnacentral:rRNA from 1 species
GAUGAACGCUGGCGGCGUGCCUAACACAUGCAAGUCGAACGAAGGUAUAUAUAGGAAGUCUUCGGAUGGAAUAUGUAUAACUUAGUGGCGGACGGGUGAGUAACGCGUAAGUAAUCAACCUGUGACACACGGAUAACUGAUAGAAAUGUCAGCUAAUACGAGAUGAACUGUUUAAAUUGGGAAAUGGAAACAGCAAAGCGAAAGCGGUCACAGACGAGCUUGCGUCUGAUUAGCUAGUUGGUGGGGUAAGAGCCUACCAAGGCGACGAUCAGUAGCCGGCCUGAGAGGGUGAACGGCCACAUUGGAACUGAGACACGGUCCAAACUCCUACGGGAGGCAGCAGUGGGGGAUAUUGCACAAUGGGGGGAACCCUGAUGCAGCAACGCCGCGUGAGUGAAGAAGGCCCUAGGGUCGUAAAGCUCUGUCGUAUGGGAAGAAAC